CACGUAGGGGGCAAGCGUUGUCCGGAUUUAUUGGGCGUAAAGAGCUCGUAGGCGGCUCUGUAAGUCGGGUGUGAAACCUCCAGGCUCAACCUGGAGACGCCACCCGAUACUGCUGUGGCUUGGAGUCCGGUAGGGGAGCGUGGAAUUCCUGGUGUAGCGGUGAAAUGCGCAGAUAUCAGGAGGAACACCAGCGGCGAAGGCGGCGCUCUGGGCCGGAACUGACGCUGAGGAGCGAAAGCGUGGGUAGCAAACAGG
rnacentral:rRNA from 1 species